AACAUCGCGCACCUGCGGGAACCUGCGGGGGAUCAUUACAGAGUUGCAAAACUCCCUAAACCAUUGUGAACGUUACCUAAACCGUUGCUUCGGCGGGCGGCCCGGGUCCUUCCCGGCGCCCAUCGGCCCUCGCGGGCGCCCGCCGGAGGUAAACCAAACUAUUGCAUUGUAUGGCCUCUCUGAGUCUUCUGUACUGAAUAAGUCAAAACUUUCAACAACGGAUCUCAGAUCGGAAGAGCA
rnacentral:misc_RNA from 1 species